AACGAACGCUGGCGGCAGGCCUAACACAUGCAAGUCGAGCGCCCCGCAAGGGGAGCGGCGGACGGGUGAGUAACGCGUGGGAACGUACCCUUUGCUACGGAAUAGCCUCGGGAAACUGGGAGUAAUACCGUAUGUGCCCUUCGGGGGAAAGAUUUAUCGGCAAAGGAUCGGCCCGCGUUGGAUUAGGUAGUUGGUGGGGUAAUGGCCUACCAAGCCGACGACCCAUAGCUGGUUUGAGAGGAUGAUCAGCCACACUGGGACUGAGACACGGCCCAGACUCCUACGGGAGGCAGCAGUGGGGAAUCUUAGACAAUGGGCGCAAGCCUGAUCUAGCCAUGCCGCGUGAGCGAUGAAGGCCUUAGGGUUGUAAAGCUCUUUCAGGGGGAAGAUAAUGACUGUACCCCCAGAAGAAGCCCCGGCUAACUCCGUGCCAGCAGCCGCCGCCGUAA
rnacentral:rRNA from 1 species